GAAAGGAAAAGAAGAGAAAGGAGAGAAAGGGACGGCUGAGAUGAAAAGGAGAGAAGAGAAAAUGAGAGAUAAGGGGAAACGGAAGGGCCAAUUAGGAGAGGGGAGGGGAAGGAGCGGCCAAUGAGAAAGAGGGAAAGAAGGGGAAAGAAGAAAGGAGGAGAAUGAGGGGAACCAAACCGAUUCCCCCUUGACCCACAACCCAGUCGUGACCCAUGUGUUUCUCUGAUGAAAUUCAUCAUUUUUUUCGACGAAUUGGGCCGAUCUACCAUUCCCAAUCAUCAUCUCAACCCUUUCUCUACCAUUUCCACAUCAAAUUCAUGAAGAUUGGGUUCGAGAUUGUGGAGAAAUGUACUGGUUGGUGUGAUAGGCUUCGGGGCGGUGAUCCAUCAAAUCCAAAGGUAACUCCAUCAACAACCACCACCAAAAGGCUUCCCUCAAACUCAGGAACAAAGCUCAAGCAGGUUUGAGGGCGGUGGAGCACCGGAAGUGACGGAUUUAAGCACACCCUUUUUAGGGUUUUCGGCAGGUUCGAGGGAAAUUGAAGCUUUUCCCGACCAAAUUGGGCUUAGUCACAAGUCAUGGUAGAUUACGAGAAACCGCUUGAUAUUUUGGUUCCAUUGAGUGGUCAGGAAUCCUUGCUCUUGCUUAUUUCCAUAAGG